GUCCCUUAAGGCCUGGGGGAAGGCUGGGAGGAGGAGAUACCUACCUGUAGGUGCUAGCCCUUUGGUUUUGCUUUCUCCACUCUGAACAGACCUGUUGGAAUCUCUUUGCUUUGGGGAAAUGGAGGCAAGAGGAAGUGACCAGAAAAAAACGUGUUUUUGAGAAGAGUUCAUGGAUAUGACAUGCCUUGAAAAUGGCUUUCAAGGGUCUGAUUUUUCCAGUACUUCCUUAUGGUUUGAGCCAGCAGGCAUGGCAUUCAGGACACAGGUCUCCUCCUUGCCUAGCAGUGGCCUGCACCCUCUUAUCUUCACGCAGAUCCCUGCUGGUGCCUGAAGCUGUGGAGAUCUGGUGCCUGUUCCUGUCUCCUGUCAUGACUUCUGCUAACCUUGAAGUUACUGGGUAUUGCCACCCCCCACCCCCAUUGCCUGUUCCACCCAGCCAUGAUGGCCUCUCUGAGCCGGUGCUGACUUAAGGGCUCACAAACCCGCCAUGCCAGGCCACAGGCUACGUGUGUCCCACCUUAAGGAGCCCCCAUACCACACAUAGCUGUUGCCCCACAGAUCCUGUCAGUCAGAAGUCCUGCCCCACUCUGCGCUUAUUUUCUUUACCUGGAUUUGUCCUGUCGUCUUCAUGUCAACACCAAUCUGUCUAUGUUAUGUGCUGCUAUAAUAAAUCACCUUAGAGCAGGCAA